UAUAAUCUAGUGGACGGAACGCUUAUUUCAACAGCAGCAACAGUUUGUUGAGCGUUAAGACAAUUAAGCUCUUUAGAAGCUUUAGUGUGUAUUAGCCACUGUGUUUUAAACCCACUUCUGUCGUCUAGUUAGUUAUCAGAUUUAAUUUCAUAUUUACGGUGUUGUUGUUAGUCAGCUAGCGGGCUGGUUAAGUUAGCAUUAGCCUAGCUAACAUCCCCGACCAUGAGGUCACUAAGCUACUCCUUCUGCUAAAGAAGCGGUGGUCUGCUGGACGGAGGAAGAAGUUAUCGUGGAAGAGGAGACUGUUUCAAUACAAAAACAAGUAGAGGGUAAGGCUGUUACAGUGAAAUAAGAGAGAGAGGAUGAUGCUGUUUUUGGAGUGAAAGAGGAGAUGACUGUCACAUCAAAAAAGGAGGAGGAGGAAACUGGAUAUCUGGGUCCGUUUUCCCAAAUGCAUCUUAAGACAUCCAAUGGUUCUAACGCUGAACGGGCCCUGAUUAACACUAGAGAGAGACGGGACUAUCGCGGGUCCUGGGGAGGGCCUAACAACAUCAUGAUGCUGAACGAGACAGAGAAGAAUCUCUCCACAUCAGAACUGCUCAAGAAACACCAGCGGAGACCCACAGGGAAGACAUCUCAUUACUGCUCUGACUUUGGGAAACAUUGCAAAUCUUCAUCAGAACUUAAAAUUCACCAGUGAGUACACACAGGAGAGAAACCUUAUAGCUGUGAUCAAUGUGGGAAGAGUUUUACUCAGCUAAGCAGCCUGAGGCGGGGACAUACAGGACAGAAACCUUAUAGCUGUGGUCAAUGUGGGAAGAGUUUUACUACAUCUAGCUAUCUAACUAAACACCAGAGAAUACACACAGGAUAUAUAUCUUAUGGCUGUGAUCACUGUGGGGAGAGUUUUAUUCGGCUACAAACCCUGAAAUCACACCAGAGAACACACACAGGAGAGAAACCUCAUAGCUGUAAUCAAUGUGGGAAGAGAUACUCUGAUAAAAGAUCACUGAUUAAACAUCAGAAAAUACAUGAAGGAGCUGUUUCAUGAUAUCAAUCAAUUAAUGUCACAAUGUAGAAUGUCUUAACAUUGUAGUGGGAGUAUUUUAAUGUCAGAAUGUAGAACCCUAAACAUUUGUUAAAUUGAUAUUGGCCUCAAGGAAAAAAAACAGUCUCUGAAUUGAAAGAGUAUUAUCUAUGAGAUUUAUCAAAAAGUGACUAACAAAAAAAGAGUUCUGUUACAUUUAACAUGUUGGUGACCCACUUGAAUCAAAAUGCAACACUUCGAAAUGUUUAGGUUUUCAAUAUAUCCCAAACUGUUUCUGCUUAUUGGUUAUUGAUUUGGACAUGUUAAAACUGCGCUAUUCCCAUUUAGCAAAAUGUCAUUCAAAAAACGUUGAAAAUAAGACUAUGCCCGACAUCCAAUAUAUGUUGGCUGUAGUUGAAAGUGAAAGUUGAAAAGAUGUCUUUUCAGGUCGGUUUUUUCAAUGACUUGAAAAAAAGCUUAAUUUCAAUGUACUUGCAGCUUAUACACAUGGAUGCAGUAUAAUAAAUUGGUCUAUAAUCAUUUUGAUUAACAAUCCUACAUCACUCCAGUAUUUCUUGACAACAUUCAAGUGCUAAUUGUCUUUAUUCCACUACUAAAGAAGUAUGACUCAAAUCACCUCAUAUUUCAUUUCCUCAUAUUUGCUUCCCUAUUAGAGAUGAGUUUUGUUUGGGCUUGUUCCAAGGGGACGAGAGUUCUAGAAGCUAGUGAGUUUUAGGAUUCAAAAAAAUUAAAAAGGAGAAGAAAUUAUGUUGUAUAUGAUUAUUUACAAGCAUGUUUUUUUUCUUGUUUUUAGCAAGUUGUUUUCUGUUGGUGGUGAGCAAACCUGUUCAACAAAAUAUAGGAUAUAUUUGUUGUCCUAAGGGGGAAGGUGUUGCAGGCUUUGGUUUUUCCAUUUACGUUUUGAGGUUGGAUUUUAGCACGUCUAACUCGUUAGCUCGUUGGGUGCACAGAUUGGUGUCACCUCGUUAGUCAGUAUGUGUUACACCUGUGCUGGCUUGUCCAUCUUGUUAGUGGGAAGGUGUUUCACCUGAGCUGGUCCAGGUUCUAUUUAAGAGUGUCUGGCCCAGUGCUCCAGUUGCCUUGAUAGAUGUGGAGAGUCAACACAUUUAGUUGCUCCACUUUUUUGGUUUACUUCCUGUCUGUAAGUUUGGUUUUGUUUUCCUCUUCUUGGGCAGAUUUAGAGGGUCUCAUGAUAGGUGUCUUGUAUGUCCCAGUUGUUGUUACUAGUCAACUUUCAGUGGACACAGAGCAAAACUUCAAGAUUAUGUUAUAAUACUUUUAUUGCAUUAAAUGGUUGUUUUAUGCAACAGAAUAGAGGGUUCUUAGAACUAUUGUGUCUGUGUGUUCUACUGAGGAUGGGCCUCUGGGAGAUAACACUGACAGGAGAUUUACAAUGUAUUUUGUGCGAUAACCUAAAGAGACCGCAUUCCAGAGCAUGAGUUAAUGUUUCUGUUCUAUAUGGUACCAGGGAGAGAUGACCCCAGGGCCAGACUCUACACAAAGAGUACUAUUUUUACAGCAGAUACUGUCUGCUGAGAAUUAUAAGUAUCUUUCAUACAAAUCUUAACCUUGUGACCCAUUCUAUACAUCUGUUAAUCGUCAUGUAGGUUGAAAGGGGUGUAUCUUGGCUGUAAAAUACCUUUGUACUUUCAUCUGGGCGUGAUUGGUCGACCAGCCAUCAUUAUCGUAGAGCACUCAAUUGAUUGACUUUAUGUGUACGUUGUAUUGACCUGCUCCCUUAUUAUUAAGUGAAUAAAGAUUUAUUUUAAGAAGAA